AGAAACAGAGCAGAAACUGCCCCAGCCAUCAACUGAAAUCUCUAUCUUUCUGUGCCCGGUGAAUUUCACGGAUCAGAUCUGGUGGUUAUCAGAGUCUUCAACUGGAAACGAAGAGGAGGUGGUGCGUGUUUGAGUCAUGAGUGAGGAUGCUGGAGAUAUGAAACAGUUAAGAAGAAUCUGUGAUCUACCUCUCUGCGAUCGAGUGAAAAAAUGAAAGGAUUCUAAUGAAGGAUGCGAGAUGUAACCAUAACAAGAUGAUUGCAGUGUAGUGUUUUGUUAGAUCCGACUCCGUGUAAUUGGACCGGAGAAAAUAUAAAGUUCAAAAAAA
rnacentral:misc_RNA from 1 species